rnacentral:ncRNA from 1 species
CUGCCACAACGGCUUCCUGGCGUGGCAUGGAUAAACCAAUGGAGCA